UAGGGAAUCUUCCGCAAUGGGCGAAAGCCUGACGGAGCAACGCCGCGUGAGUGAUGAAGGUCUUCGGAUCGUAAAACUCUGUUAUUAGGGAAGAACAAAUGUGUAAGUAACUAUGCACGUCUUGACGGUACCUAAUCAGAAAGCCACGGCUAACUACGUGCCAGCAGCCGCGGUAAUACGUAGGUGGCAAGCGUUAUCCGGAAUUAUUGGGCGUAAAGCGCGCGUAGGCGGUUUUUUAAGUCUGAUGUGAAAGCCCACGGCUCAACCGUGGAGAGACAUUGGAGACUGGAAAACUUGAGUGCAGAAGAGGAAAGUGGAAUUCCAUGUGUAGCGGUGAAAUGCGCAGAGAUAUGGAGAAACACCAGUGGCGAAGACGACUUUCUGGUCUGUAACUGACGCUGAUGUGCGAAAGCGUGAGGAUCAAACAGG
rnacentral:rRNA from 1 species